CUAUUUCUCAACAUGUUGCUGUUGCUAAUUCUUCAUUGCUGUCCACCCCACCAAAUCUGAAUUAUGAACUUCCAGGAAAUGAAUGUUUCUCAUGUGCAAUUCCUGUAUCAAACCCAGCAGUCUAAAACAGUAUUUACUCAAUGGUUCCAAUUAUUAGUGGCCUCACUGAAUACAUUGAAAAAACCCAUGCUACAGGAAAAGAGGAAAUUUAUCUGUUAUUUAUAAAUGGCUGCUCAUUAUUCAUGAAAAUGCAAUUAAGCAUAAUUUAAGCGUGUAAAAAGAACAACAACAGAUUGACCUACACAAGGAUUUCAGAGUUAAAUUUUUCCUCUAAUGACCUGUUUUGAAGUCAAGGCCUGUGCACAGGCAUUCUCCUUAUCUCAACUUGCACAGAACACAGCAAGGUCAAACUCCUGAAGAAUGAAGAGACUUGAAAAAAGCCACAUAAGAAAGCAGGCUCUUGAGAGGAAGAAAGCCUACCUGCUGCCAG